rnacentral:rRNA from 1 species
GCAACGCGAAGAACCUUACCUGUCUUGACAUCCCGGAGACCCUUAGGAAACUAGGGGUGCUUCCAUCUGGAAGAAUCUGGAGACAGGUGCUGCAUGGCUGUCGUCAGCUCGUGUCGUGAGAUGUUGGGUUAAGUCCCGCAACGAGCGCAACCCUUGCCUUUAGUUGCCAGCAGUUCGGCUGGGCACUCUAAAGGGACUGCCGGUGUUAAACCGGAGGAAGGUGGGGAUGACGUCAAGUCCUCAUGGCCUUUAUGACCAGGGCUACACACGUACUACAAUGGCCGAUACAAAGGGCAGCGACACUGCGAGGUGAAGCCAAUCCCGUAAAAUCGGUCUCAGUCCGGAUUGGAGUCUGCAACUCGACUCCAUGAAGUUGGAAUCGCUAGUAAUCGUGGAUCAGCAUGCCACGGUGAAUACGUUCCCGGGCCUU